GAUGAACGCUGGCGGCGUGCCUAAUACAUGCAAGUCGAGCGAACAGAUGAGGAGCUUGCUCCUCUGACGUUAGCGGCGGACGGGUGAGUAACACGUGGAUAACCUACCUAUAAGACUGGGAUAACUUCGGGAAACCGGAGCUAAUACCGGAUAAUAUAUUGAACCGCAUGGUUCAAUAGUGAAAGACGGUUUUGCUGUCACUUAUAGAUGGAUCCGCGCCCAUUAGCUAGUUGGUAAGGUAACGGCUUACCAAGGCAACGAUGCGUAGCCGACCUGAGAGGGUGAUCGGCCACACUGGAACUGAGACACGGUCCAGACUCCUACGGGAGGCAGCAGUAGGGAAUCUUCCGCAAUGGGCGAAAGCCUGACGGAGCAACGCCGCGUGAGUGAUGAAGGUCUUCGGAUCGUAAAACUCUGUUAUUAGGGAAGAACAAAUGUGUAAGUAACUAUGCACGUCUUGACGGUACCUAAUCAGAAAGCCACGGCUAACUACGUG
rnacentral:rRNA from 1 species